rnacentral:tRNA from 1 species
UGUUCUGUGGCUUAGAUGGUAUGGCGCCAGUCUAGCUUAUUCGGAGUCGUGGGUUCGAAUCCCACCAGAACUC